rnacentral:rRNA from 1 species
UGGGGAAUAUUGGGCAAUGGGGGAAACCCUGACCCAGCAACGCCGCGUGAAGGACGAAGGCCUUCGGGUUGUAAACUUCUUUGAUCAGGGACGAAACAAAUGACGGUACCUGAGGAACAAGCCACGGCUAACUACGUGCCAGCAGCCGCGGUAAUACGUAGGUGGCAAGCGUUAUCCGGAUUUACUGGGUGUAAAGGGCGUGUAGGCGGUCUUGCAAGUCGGAAGUGAAGUUCCCAGGCUUAACCCGGGCGCUGCUCCCGAAACUGCGAGACUUGAGGACUGGAGAGGAUAGUGGAAUUCCUAGUGUAGCGGUAAAAUGCGUAGAUAUUAGGAGGAACACCAGUGGCGAAGGCGGCUAUCUGGACAGUAACUGACGCUGAGGCGCGAAAGCGUGGGGAGCAAACAG